UACAGAGGUGGCAAGCGUUGUUCGGAAUUACUGGGCGUAAAGGGCGCGUAGGCGGCCUUCUAAGUCAGACGUGAGAUCCCCCGGCUUAACCUGGGAACUGCGUCUGAUACUGGGAGGCUUGAGUAUGGGAGAGGGAUGUAGAAUUCCAGGUGUAGCGGUGAAAUGCGUAGAUAUCUGGAGGAAUACCGGUGGCGAAGGCGGCAUCCUGGACCAUAACUGACGCUGAGGCGCGAAAGCUAGGGGAGCAAACGGG
rnacentral:rRNA from 1 species